AUGACGAGCAGUUGUAUUACAGCUUCCAGGGAAAACCACGCUUGGUGGUGUGUAACCAGGGAGACGCCGAACAACAGAAAAAGUAUUGGCGUCCUACCAUUGGAAAACACUGAGGGAGGAUGUAAAAAAAUGGGUGAGUGUUAUUAGUACUGAAGGAAAUGUUAAUUAAUUUGAUGGAAC
rnacentral:lncRNA from 1 species